UAGGGAAUCUUCCACAAUGGGCGAAAGCCUGAUGGAGCAACGCCGCGUGUGUGAUGAAGGGUUUCGGCUCGUAAAACACUGUUGUAAGAGAAGAAUGACAUGGAGAGUAACUGUUCAAUGUGUGACGGUAUCUUACCAGAAAGGAACGGCUAAAUACGUGCCAC
rnacentral:rRNA from 1 species